rnacentral:rRNA from 1 species
UGAGGAAUUUUGCGCAAUGGGGGAAACCCUGACGCAGCAACGCCGCGUGGGUGAUGAAGGCCUUCGGGUCGUAAAGCCCUGUCGGGCGGGAAGAACGUCCCUUCGGGGAAUGACGGUACCGCCAGAGGAAGCACCGGCUAACUCCGUGCCAGCAGCCGCGGUAAUACGGAGGGUGCAAGCGAUAUUCGGAAUUACUGGGCGUAAAGGGCGUGCAGGCGGGGGAGGAAGCUUGAGGUGAAAGCCCGGGGCUUAACCCCGGAAGGGCAUUGGAAACUGCUUUUCUUGAGUUCUGGAGAGGAAGGGAGAAUUCCCGGUGUAGAGGUGAAAUUCGUAGAGAUCGGGAGGAACAUCUGUGGCGAAGGCGCCCUUCUGGACAGCAACUGACGCUGAGACGCGAAAGCGUGGGGAGCAAACA